CACUCGUUUUCUUCUUUUCCUUCUCCUCCACUUCUCCCCCUUCUGCACUCUUCAGUGGCUGCAUCUCCAUGGCAAUCGCCCCAUCCUGCUUCUUGGCUGAUGUGUGGCUCCCAGUAGGGUGAAGAUAAUCCCAGUUUGUGAGUGGAUUCCAACAGCAGUGACCAACAUCCUGCCUGAACCUUCCAUGACGUGGGUGCCUAUGAAAAAAAAGAAAGGUCAUUCCCUUGGAUCAAAAUCCCAUCAGCUGGUAAAAGGUCACCUGGAUGGCAGGAGGUGAGAAUUGUGGUAAUGCCAAACACUUUGUACCUAAGUAAGGGCAGUUAUGGAGAAACAUGCUAUAUGACAUGUGGCCACAUUCUUUGUUCUACUUUAUUUUGACACUUACAUAAUGACAUAAGCCAUUUGAAAUGCCAAUUAAUUGUAUGAAGAAAAAGUAAAGAUGACCAAUAGUAUAUUCAUUCAUUCAUUUUCCAAACCAAUUAUCCUUUAGGGUCACGGAACCACCCAGGGCAUCCCAUCACAGGGCACACUCACACAGGCAAAUUAAUAUCUACAAUUAGCCUCAGCAUGUCUUUAGACUAUGGGAGGAAACCCCACGACAACAUGGGGAGAGCAUGCAAACUCCACACACGUAACCCAGACGGGGACUCGAACGCAGGUCCUAGAGGUGUGAGGCAACAGUGCUAACCACUGCACCACCAUGUCACCCAAUGAAUGGCCUAAUUACUGAAAAACCCCACCCUCCCCAAAGGAACAAUGCCGGACUGUGUGUUUUUUCAUUGCUAUGAAGGCCCCCCCAGGUUACAAUCUACAUACAGAGCUCAGACUCGAAGAACAAUCAGAAACAUAUAUUUAAAUUCCCUUAUUGGAAGACAUCAUCUUUAUUUACAUAUAUGGUGCAUAUAUUGCACGUAUUUGGAAAUUUGCACCACAUAUGUAAAUAUGCAUCCUAUAUGUAAUGUGGCCAAUUUUUAUUAUUUAAAUAUAUGUGAAAUAUUGCAGAUAUAUAUGUGAAAUAUAUGUUUAAAUAUAUAUAUUUUUUCCAUAUAGGGUGUGCCAGAUUUUUUCGUUGUAUCUCAGCAUCGAAGUACAUUAAUGAGCAAGUUUUCCCCAUAACUAAAGAGAAGUAGCCCAUUCUCAUUAAUGAGCUACGACAAUCCACAACAGACCUACCUAGACCAGCAAUGAAGGCCUGCAUCCUUUAGCAUAUCAAGGGAAGAAAAGAACAAGACCAACCAUAUUUGACUUGCGCUAUGUCUCCCACCACCAUCUCAGCCACGGGGAUCUGGAUGACGUUGCCGUUGCGGACCACGGAGAAACGCUGCUCCUGUUCGAUACGACUCUGCAAGCCACGGAACUGCUUCUCUUUGCUCCAGUCAUUGAAGGCCGUCACCAGCACCACACAAAUGACAGACAACAGGAUGGCUGCUCCUUCAAUCCAACCUGCCUCUGCCUCACCCUCGUCCUCUGCACCCCCAGACCCUUUCCCACAUACUGGGGAGGGAAGAAAAGAGAGGCAGUGUAAUCAGGCAGUUUUAACAAAUUCUUGGAGCCAGGGGUAAUAUCUGUGGGUGCUUGUCCCUGUUGUGUAAUAAAUACAUUUUGAUGCCAUUCUGUACUUGGGUCUGAAGUAAUAUUCAACGUAUCCCCCCUAAUAUGGAAUCAGUGGUGGUUUUUAAAUAUAAAAGUCAGUGAGAAGGGACAGUCUGGUCUUUAUAGUGAGAAUCAGUGUUUUAUUGGUGGUUAUUAUAGAAUGCUGAAACUGAAACAUGUCCUUGUGGGGAGAUUGUUUUCUUGUAUAUCCCCUCUUGAGCUCCUUGAGACACACAGGUGGAAGCAAGUUCUGAGGUCAGAGCCCAAGGUCAGCCAGUGUCCAGCAACCCUGGAGCGAUCGAGGUUAUGAGCCUCUGCCUGCCACGUAAUUCAAACCGUGCUUCAGCCCCCCUCAGCUCCAUAAGUGCCUUUAGCUCGUCCAGCGAGGCCCCAAAGCCGCCUGUAUGAUUGUCCUCGGAUGCCCCGCUGACAAGCCCACUCCCCCUCUGGCUCUUGGGGUAAAACGCCACGGUGCUGUUGCUGAAAUCCCCCAUGACUGCAGAGUCCCGCCUGCUCCUCCUUCCACCAUUUUAUGACUCCUCCAAAGGGUCAGCGAACAAGGCUCCAGUCCAUUGGUAAAAGGAUGGAUACACAGACUGUAAAAGGCUUCACCACAAUCUGCAACCUGGUGAAAAAAAGUGAAAAAUCAGUGAUCCAUGAUGAAUCUUUGACCCAGCCAGCUGCCCUCUCCAAUAUUCCUGAUCAGAUUAUUGAAUCCUCCUUGAAUGUAUCCAAUCAUUUAAAUACCCACUCCAGUGAGUAGCUCAUUGUGUAGUACUGUGAGUUCAUCUGAUUUUGGCAUUGUUCUGUCCUGUUGCGUUUUUUGUUGACCUGCUUAUGUUCACGGUUAUGAGUCUUAAGGACUGCUUUCGUUUCUUGAAUAAACCUCACUUGGACGUCCACAUCAUUCAUCAUAUUCUGUUGCUUCUACACAUGAAGUUUAAGUAGAGGACUAAGUCAUGGUCUGAUAUAGAAAAUAUACAUCUGUCAGUAUUAAACAAUUGUGUCCAAAGUUCUGGAGAAGAUAGUUGCUGCUCAGCUUCAGUCAUACAACACACAACAUACUGGAAAGAUUAUAGUCUGGCUUCCGUUAAGGACACAGCACUGAAACUGCCUUAAUUAGUGUUGGUAAUGACAUAACAAUGACAUAACAAUGCCAACUAAUGCGAACAAUGUGACUGUGUGAUAAUGCUUCUAGACCCUUGACACAGUUGACCAUUUUACUCUGUGACAUAGACCUGAAUUUGAUGAUACAAGUAUCCAAAACUACACUCCAUCAUCAAUGUCACUGGUCAAAUAUGGAGCACCACAGGGAUCAGUUAUUGGUUCUAUAUCUUGGUUCUACAGUAUAUUUCUACAUGCUGCCAUUAGGUAAGAUAAUGAGAAAAUAUUAUGUUAAUUCUCAUUCCUAUGCUGACGACAUUUCAGCAACACCUAAUGACACCUCAUCAAUUGUCACUUUAGCUAAUUGCUUUAAUGAAGUUAAAACUUGGAUGAGUGAAAACAUUUUGUCACUCAGGCAUUGAUUCUCCCCUGCACUUAAGUCAAAAAUGCGCAUAGUUGCAAAACAAAUAUUACAGUCCAAAAUGCAUGUGAAUAAUUUAUAGAAUUACAUAAAAAUUAUAUAACACAACAGUAUAUAGAAAUAUGUAAUUAAAUACAAAGUAUAUUGCUAUUAGGCAGGAUUCAAGUGACAUUUGGCUUGUCAACACACCAAGUAGGUGAAUCAAUAAGGCUAAAUGAAUUAUCGAUAAAAAAAAUCUUUCAACUGAAAUGAAUAAAAAUAGAUUGUAGUGUAUCGUCACAAUCACUUAUUUGUGUUCUACAACAGUGGGACAGAUAGAGAUGCCUUCGUCUUGAUGUGCUUCAACUGACUGAGACUGUACACAUCGCAUGUUUCCAGGUGGAUUGUGGAACACGAGCUCUGACCUCAAGCUUUGAUGUCCAUCAGCAGCUCAGCUUAUGAUCUAUGCCAGUGGUUCUUAAUCAGUGGGUCACACAACUAUGGGAGCCUGGUGUGGUUAACACACACAUAUAUAUAUAUAUAUAUAUAUUAGACUUUUGUGGUCAUUUUUGUGGUCAUCCCGGGUGUUUUUUUACCUACAGUACAGUAUAGCACUAGUCAACUGUUUCAUCCCAUGUAAUGUCCCAUGUUUAAAUUAUGCCUCAAUGA